AUGAUCUGCUAAAUCUAAAAAAACAAAUAAAUAAGAAGUAAAUUAGCAUUUGAAAGGGAGGAAAAAAAAAAAAAGCAGAAGAUUUUAGUCGGUGUUGGGGCACUUGGUCUCUUUUAUAUUGAAGGCUCAAGGCUUCCCUCAAACCACUUCUCUCUAUAUUACACACAGAGAGAGACUGGGACUGAGACUUCUAUGGAGGUUUUUGUAUGUUUUUACUGCAACUAGAGGAGGCAUCCAAAGGGAUCGCAUUGAUCCCAAGUGUCUGUCCCCCAUAAUUUUGGAUCAUGCUAUCCCUUUGGAUUCCUCCUUUGGUGGCUUCUAUAACAUUAAUGGGUUUUAGUGGUGGUGAUGCUCCACACACUCGCCCUUCUCAUGCAUCAUCAACACCAACAAGUUUAGUAUGGCUCACCGAGAAAACCAACCUUGUAUUGAAGUUUGUUCAGACAGACAAUUUUAUUAUAUCAACGUACAGAACUACAGAUCAAAUUUUAAAUGAAACUUCUCAAUAUUGCCACUUACAAACCAUUGGAUUAAUCCAAACUCCAAAUUUGGCACGACGCCAUUGGAUCUGAUUUUAGUAAGGCUACAUACUACUGUCUACUUGCCCCAGAAAAAAAGAAAUGGGCAUUGGCUUCGAGAAAAUUUCCAAGAGAGGUAAGUAUCUUCUUGUUAUUGUUGCUUACAGUUGUCAUGAAUGUGAUUUGGUAAUUUUAUAAUACCCACAUUUAGUCCUUCAAGAUGGUAAACAUGUAACCAAGGACGAAUAUUUAUUCCUUCUUUCAAAACAUGUGAGACGAUAAAUUUAUUUGUUGUUCGAGGGAGUCUGUACCGAUCUUUAAUCGAUGUGAGGUUUUCUGGCGGAGCUCCUACGCAAUCUCCAACCGAGAACUCUUGUUUUCAGUGAAAGAAUUAGAAGUUAAUUUCUGGUGAAGGGAGAGUUUCUCUUGCAGCUACAUUACACGCAUAUGUACAUUCCAUCUCCUACAAACUGCGAGCUUUAAUUAAUUUGGUCCUUUUCAUGAACCAUCAUCAACGUGAUAACCAAGUGGAACCUAGCUAAUUGCAACUAUACUGCAAAUAAAACAGCGCCGCUCGUAUUGAAGAUAUAAUGCAAUCAAUUUCUACUCAUAAAAAUGACUUGGCAAGGAUUUACCCCCAUUUCUUUAGAUAUUUCUUUUAAUUUCUGAUCAUUACAAACUCCCAACAAGUUGAUUUCACCUUUACAAAACGCUGACUUUUCUCUCAUAAACACCGACAGCUAACUGCAGGUUUGCACAACUUUCCAUAGGUUCUUGCUCAACCUAACUCCUAUUGACAUAUUCUGCUUGUCUAAACCGUAUCUACAAAGCUAUGAAACAUGGGUUAAAGGUCCUAAACCACUAUAUGGUAUGGCCGUAUGCCAUGUGGCCCUGGAUCAAGGUCCAAAUCACAUGGUUUGAGGACUUUAAUUAGAAUCCAAGGCAGUGAAAGAUGAUAUAUUAAAGGACUUCUUUUUACCACUUUGGGCCUCAGACUGUGUCCUAAAGGCAAAGGAAUCGUACGCAUGUGAUAAGACCUUAAAAAAGUCCUUUAUAUUUGCUCUAAUUUUUUUUUGUAGUGAAGGGUCUGAUCCCUCCUAGCACAUGACACCAACAUUCUAGUAAUGACUUACCAUUUGAUCUCUUUUGUCACAUGGCCCCAACCUUUCUGUGUUGGGUUCCCUUUUUUAUCACGAACUCCAAGCAUUUACGGAUCUCGAGCUCAUGCAUUCAAGCACUAAUACAAGGACAACUUCAAUUUUAAAUGAGAAAAACACCAUCACUAACACAUGCAAUUGAGCUUUUUCUAGACAUACAUGGCCUUUCUUUCUUUUUUCUUUUUUCUUUUUUUUUUUACCAUAUACGGUCACAUGAUGGUGCAUAAAAUUAGAAAAGAAAUUCACCUGUUUGGGCUAGCCCCAAAUGGUGUGGCAUCCAUUUCGACAUGGUCUAAUCGGUGUGAUCCAUGUCCGAAAUUAAUGUAUCCUUAUUUUUUCUCUUUUAUUAUCGUGCUUAGUGUAUUUUUGAGUAUCGAGAAGGUAUAAUAUGAUAUCAUGCACGGUCUAUGCAUACAAUAUUUAUUAUGGUUAAUUAAUAUAUUUUAUUGAUAAAUCAUUUACAAGUAUAAAUUUUUAUGAAGAUUAAACAUCACAUUUUUUAGUCAAUAAUUGACGAUGCAAUAUAAAUAAUUUUCUAUGCAACUCAUGUGUCUCUUUCUUGACUAAUAGAGAUUAAAAUUUGAGAGGAGCUGAUAUGAUUAAAAUCUAUACAUGCUUUAGGUGAUCAAGUAAACAGAUAGGUUCAUAGAACUAUCAUUUUUUUUAACAAUUAUUUUAUGUAUAUUUUCUCUUGUAUAUUUAUUGAUUUAAAUAUUGAAGAGUUCCUCAUCCCACGAGGGUUUGUUUUCCGAGCGAACCUCCACCACUAUUGAAGACCAACAACCCGACUCACCUAUGUUUCAAGUUUAAAUCCAAUUUUGCAUAGCAUGAAAGCCUAAUUUACGUGUGAAGUUUUCCCCGGAUUAUCACACGUAUAGCUAGUGUUGCAUAUUCUGGUAUCUAUCAGUCCCAAAUUGUUAAUUGAUUAGAUGUUUCAAUAUAAUAUCACAGUACUAGCAAAAGCCUUGCGCUCAAUGCUUGUCCUA